ensembl:lncRNA LNC-LBCS lncRNA bladder and prostate cancer suppressor, hnRNPK interacting
UUGCAGAUAUUGUGUUUUUUACAAACUGAAGGUUUGUGGAAACUCUGCUUCAAGCAAGUCUAUUGGUACCAAUUCUCCAACAGCGUGUACUCACUUCUUGUCUCCAUGUCACAUUUUGAUAAUUCUGAGAAAGUUAAGGAAUGGGGCUGGACCAAUUACUCAUCCCAAACCGCUUGAAUUAGGAAUGAUGCAGAAGCAAAAAUUGGAAUACUUUAUAUGGCACUCAUGAGGAAGUCCACAGAAGGCUGUUACUGCUAUGUCUGGUGGACCCGAAAACAUGGCAGGUCAGCAGUUGGGAAGAAACGCUGGAUCUGAAGCAGGGGAAGUGAGGACAAACAGAACUUGUAAAGGCAACACGGAAUGCAUGAAAUCAAUGACAUGCAUGAUCUGCAGAAGAAGCUACUCUCCUUUGCCAUGGAGCUGCAAACGUGGCUGGCCCUGGACUUGGAGAAGCUCCGGAGUGGAAUCUGGCAGGGCCUAGAGAAGCUGUGGGCUCAGCAGCUGCUCUCUCACCACAGCAUGAGCCAGAAUCAGCAACGAUGCUUGUGAGCUGCUGCAGCCAUUGGUACCUUACGCUGACCUCCAGGGAUGAAUGGCUGCUGAUACACAUAUGCCUCUGAAUCUUGCACAAUCCUCGCUUAUGCCAACCCCAAUGAAAAGCCAUACAGGGAAUUCUGGGAAUUGUAUUUCCUGCUAAGCUAACUUGACACAAUGUAAAUUUACUGCAAACAUGAACAACACAUGGUCCUUCCAUCAAGUCUGGGGAUGAAGGUUACAAGUAAUAACAAAUAAAUGCAAUAAAGGGU